GUGGGGAAUAUUGCACAAUGGGCGAAAGCCUGAUGCAGCGACGCCGCGUGAGCGAAGAAGUAUUUCGGUAUGUAAAGCUCUAUCAGCAGGGAAGAUAAUGACGGUACCUGACUAAGAAGCACCGGCUAAAUACGUGCCAGCAGCCGCGGUAAUACGUAUGGUGCAAGCGUUAUCCGGAUUUACUGGGUGUAAAGGGUGCGUAGGUGGUGAGACAAGUCUGAAGUGAAAAUCCGGGGCUUAACCCCGGAACUGCUUUGGAAACUGCCUGACUAGAGUACAGGAGAGGUAAGUGGAAUUCCUAGUGUAGCGGUGAAAUGCGUAGAUAUUAGGAGGAACACCAGUGGCGAAGGCGGCUUACUGGACGAUAACUGACGCUGAGGCUCGAAAGCGUGGGGAGCAAACAGGAUUAGAUACCCUUGUAGUCC
rnacentral:rRNA from 1 species